AGUCUUGCCAAGUCCCCGUUUUGGAGAAAUCUGUGGGCCGUCAAAUUUGUAGUUGCUCCAAUCCCCGUUCUGGAGGACGACUUUGCUACGAUCAUUGCCUGAAUUUUGUAGGCUUCGGAAGAGAAUUAACGAUUACCACCCGCUCCUGAGAGAUAUCCGGACUAUGGUUUGUUGUGGGAUGGUGCUUCCGGCGAAGCAUGUAUUUGAGAGGCCAACUAGGCUGUAGAUUGGAUAGCUUAUUUUAUUGCCAACCAUUUUGGUGACCAUCUCUGGGUGGGAGAGGUGGAGUUGUUUUCCGUGAUGUAUUGCUUUUUAACUUUCUUACUUGUAUCGGUGUAUGUUAUAUAUAGUAUUGCAGUUUUUAGUAAAAAAAUAAUUAAAAAAAAGUAAUUAGCUUUCAAUAUGAAAGCAAUGUUCGGAUAGAUUUGACGGAUCAAAUGAUGCCUGCCUGUUUCAAGGAAGCUUCUACAUACUCUUUGCAUGCCCAACUAAUUAUUUUGUCCUUGUAUUAUAAGUAUAUACAGCGUUAAAUUUCUUGAUCUCUAAUAAGCAUUUUAAUAUUUCAAAAUCUCUAAGAUGCCCCACGACCCUAU
rnacentral:lncRNA from 1 species